UGCACUCAACUGAAAAGCACAUUAUGAAACAAAUGUAAACUGGUGUGAUGUGAUGGAUGACACCACCCAAAAAAAAAGUGAUUCUCAGAGGCGCUCACCUUUCUGCUGUGGUGGCUCGACAGCAGUCCCACCCCGAUGGAGUCCAAAGGGGCUGUCACCCGCUUGCUGUAGCAAAAGAGAGAGGAAGGUGGUGGAGAGGAUAAAACAAAAACAAACAAAACAAAAUAAACAAAUCUAAUGCAGACACGUCAGCUAGAAGCCUCACAUCAUGCGUGUCUCCUCCCCCCCAUGCACUUACUGCUUGUGCCUGCGCCGAUUGCGACCGACAUGCUGGGAGGCAGGUAGCCGCUCAAGUGGAGUCAAGAAGGGCGUCAUCUGGUUGUGGCGGGAGCCCCAGUCCUGAGUCGUCUCCCCCGAGUCACCUGGGAAGAGGUCAGUGAGGUCCGAGAGCUCAGACCAGUGGGGUGAAGGCUCCUGGUCCAAUCGAUCGGCAUUCUGCAAUGAGAGUUGAGGAACAGAGUUAGUCAGUUUGAUUUUAUCCACUUAUUGUUCACAAACACAAGGAAUUUGGGGUCACUUGCGAAAAAGUUCAUGGAUAGCAUGUAGAGAAUCUACAUUUUAUAUGCAGUCAAUAUAUAAAUGUACAGACAUGUACAGACGUGAUAAUAAACAAGCAACGUAUCAAUUCAAAUUCAAUGUAUCAAUAUAAAAGCCAAAACAAUGUACAUAAAGUGAAGUAUGGAGUGCCAAAAAAUACAUGUGCAUUGCAAAUGGGACAGAUGUAUGAUUAUUUGUACACAUUACAAUAAUGUCGUUGUGAGUCAGAAUGUUUUAGCUGUGUAAAGAAACAAGAGUCUGUACGGUAGAUACAGAUCAGCUGUUUAUGCGGGUGAUUGCAAUAGGAAAGAAGCUGUCCAUGUGUGGUUGCUUUUGUAUAUAUAUUUGUAUGAGGAUGUGGAAAUGGCUGUGACAAAAAAUGUGUCAAAUGAUGGUUGUGAAGUGGUAUGCGUGUGAACGUGUCAAAUGAUGGUUGUUAAGUGGUAUGCGUGUGAACGUGUCAAAUGAUGGUUGUUAAGUGGUAUGAGUGUGAAUGUGGUUCUCAUGGUCCUUACUCUGCGUAUGCGAUCAGGCAGCAGGAAGGCAGACAGCUCCUCGAGGAACAAGAAAAGAGCCAGAGCAGGUAGCAAACAUUUGGAGCAAAACAUCUGCCAAGACAAGAAUAUACAAUACCUUAUUAAUUACAUACAAACAGACGUGUUUCUUUUUGCAGUCCAUCUCUUCACUGUGUUACAUUUGUUAAGUUAAGUUAUGUCCAAUAAUAUGCGACUAGACUACAAAUGCCCUUACUUAACCAUAUAUAGCCACUGAAUUAAAUACAGAAUGUAUAGAUGCUUAAUCAGGUCCUACCGUGAUUCAGAGACGGUGGGUUGCUUCUGUAGGUCAGCUCUCUGUUAAUGGGUGCUGGAUCUCUGUGUGCUGGACGAGGCUGCGUUGGGUAUUUGUAGACAUGAAGCUGGGGUGGGUUUAUAUGUAAAAGGGAUGUAAGGAUGUGUGUGUGUGUGUGUAAGUGUGUGUAAGAGACUGACUUCCUCCACUUUCCUUUUUUUUUUACAGAGGAAGAACACAGAUGAGUACAUGAUUACAACAUCACUCUGGAUCGGAUGAUUUAUUGUUUACACGUCUGGGCCAUAUCUGGAUAGAACUGGAAAAGACAACAGCAGAUGAAGGUUUGACCCUUUAAGAUGGAUAGGAUAUGAUGUGCACGUUGGCAUGGACUGGACAGGCAGAGACUGUGAUCUGUUCUUGACACUUGUCGUAUAGCUGGGCACUCACAAUUUGUGGCCUUGGCAUAGACUAUACAAAAGGUACUUGUGGAUAACUGAAAAUUGGUAAAAUCACUUCCAUGUAAAUAAUAAUAAUAAUAAUAAUAAUAAACAAACAAAAAAAAAACACCAAACCAGCCGUGUUUACACUGGACUGUCUACAUACUCAUACAGUCUUUGACUGACUGGACUGCACACACCUUUUGACUGUGACUACACUGUAAUGUAUAUUGAUUUUAGGCGCUACAUUGUGGCCGUGCAAUAUUCUGUUUGUGUGUGGUCUCCUAGUAAUUUUGAUAUAUCUCGUUUCAUUCAGUUUGAGAAGUAGAUUGUUGUCUUACAGUUAAGCCCUGUUUAUAAUGAGUAUCAUGGGAGAGUAUGCGCGCGCCAGCCACACACUCACACAUACACACACACACACACACAGUAAGACAAUUGGGGAUGGAGGGAGGGCCUGGAGCAUGGAAGCCUCCUAGGAUGGCUUACCAGCAGUCCGACACGUUUUCUCUCUUCCUGCCCUAAUUAAGUCUAUUUCUGGCUACCAGGACCACCAAACGCAGAGUGACCGCUGACAGAUAAACCCCCACAAAAACAAACUGCUGACCGGCAGACCCCACUACACCGGGCCCACUACGCCGCCCAGGCGUCUGUCCACAGGGGCAGAGACCAGAUAGGCUAUACUGAUUACGCUAAUUAUCAGUGUGUCCCUGUGUAUGUGUGCGCGCGCUCGCUCCCUCAACUCACCCCCACCCCUGCAUCUCGGCCCUAUAAGUAGCCAGGGUGGUCACCGACUCCAAAUAUAGACCCCAUAAAUCUCCACACAUGCCUCGGACUACCACGCUAUCCAGCAGCACGGCGAGGCUGAUCAAUCUGAUGCAUUAUACAGUUGCAUCUGCCAGUCAGUCUUUGUUUGUGAUAUACAUAAGCGUUGUGUCCUCCACUCAUUCCGUCCCCACAACGCCACUUAUAAUGGCAUCAUAUUUUGAACAACUGGCUUCAGUAGUCAUGAUUGAACUUAACCUGAUUUUAUUUUGUCUGCUGCAUACUGCGUAAGAAUCUCAAUCUUAAAAUAGUAUAGAACGUAAGUGCACCUUGUGCAAUGUGUAUGUUAUGUUUUAUGUUUAGGAUUUUGUAAAAUGAUUUAGCCAACAGAACAGCAGCAGAGAGUUGGAGGGAUUCCUGUGUCAGAAAUCCUGAUUAUUGUAAAUGCUUUCAGAGAUCCAUCUUAAUGUAGAAUUACUGCCACCUUUGGUAAAGUUUUUAAAUCAUUUCAAAAGGGAAGCAAAUUUAGUUGAAGAAAAAGGAAAAUCUCAUGAAGAAAUAUAUAUUUGACAUUACCCACAAUUAUUGGCUGUCCUAGAAAAUCGUAUUUACAAAAUGUAACAGAAGCAUUUUCCUUUCCACUCCUACACGUUCAUAGGAGUGUCUGUAAACUUGCAGAAGACUUUCUUUUUCCGUAACGUAUGAAAAUAAAGUGACACAGAGGCUAAAUCCCGGAGUCAUUUCUCAACAUGAGAAAAACGAGAAUACAUUCAAUUUAAAUAAAAAAAAAGAAAGUGUGUUGAAAUGUGUAAGUCAGGGAUGGCUAUAAAAACUAGGUAUUUCAUUGAAAAUGCCCAUAUUUUUCAGUUAAAACAACAAUUAAAAGGUUAUAAUGAACUGGAAAUUAGACAAACAUGCUUGGACAAAGACCCAUGGUUAUCCUGCCCCCUCACCCAGUACAGAUGGUAAAAGAGGCGGAAAUUCCAUAUGAACCACUGUUGGAGAGUUACAGAAAGACGUAUCAGCUUGGGGUCACCAAGUUCCCCAAAAGUGACCUCACUGCUAAUAGAUUAUAUAGAGGGCAUGCCAAAUAAAAGCAUUUCCAGUCAUUUAAUUGCAGAUGUAAGUGGCAGGAGUAACUGAACUGAAAACUGACUUUGUCUCUGCGCUCAAGAAACACUUGGCAAGAAACACAGGUGGGUUUGGUGUAGAAGAAUGAGUAUGCUGUAAAGACCCCCAAUGCCUGAGGACAAUUGUGGUGGAGGGUCUGUGAUAUUUUGAGGCUGCUUUUAUUCCCAAAGGCCUUGGAAUUUUACAAGAAAAAAACAUUUUCAAUGCCUUCUGUCAAUCUCUGCUAAGACACUAAAAUGUCAUGAUUGGAUCAUUCAUCAGGUCAACGAACCAAAAUAAAUGUCCAGCUCAAAAUAAAAAUGGUUUAGUGAACACAAAGUCAAGCUUCUGCCAUGGCCAUCUCAUUCCCCUGAUGUAAAGUCCAUCGAAAAACAGUGGGGUGAGUCAAAGAGAAGAAUGCAUGUGUGGACCUAGGGGUGCCAGUAACUGUGGCUGACGUGUUUGUUUUGCCUUUCAAGCAAUAUUUUUCCUUAUUGUUUGCAUUGGAACAAUAAAUCACCAAAGGAUUAUUUUUUAUACUUGGUUCAACUUUGCCAAAGGUGCCAGUAAUUCUAAUAGCAUAUACUCAUAUCAUAAGUAAAUACAGUGGGCUCCACAAUUACAACAAUAACUCCACAAGGCAUACCAAGGUAAAGAUGAGCAAAACAAGUUAAAAGCAUAAUAUUUUGGGGAAAUUAUUUGAAACAAAUGUGUUUAGAAACAUAUCCUAAUUUCUUUAAUCUCAUAUCUUUAAUAUAUUGUUUCCAAAUCCUCCGUGGCCUUUUGUGUCAUUGUUCUGUUGGGAGGUCCAAUUGCAACCUCUUUUAAUUCUUGGAAUAGGCCGUUUUGCUUUAAAUGUCCUGGUAACUUUGACAGUCAUCUUUAUUUCUAUGUCAAAGCUACCUUAAAUAUUUGUCAAAAACUGAAUUAUCAUUUAAUCUAUACAUAGAACACGGUUAAAUGAUGUGAUUUCUGGAGAUUAAGUGAAUUUUUUUGUAACCAGUGGCCAGUGGUUCCAGGUAUUGUUGAACCCCUUUGAUCUGUACGUUCUUAAUUUCGAGAUUUAACGGUAAAUAAACUUUAUUUUUCA